rnacentral:ncRNA from 1 species
AUAAACGCAAGGACACGGAACAGUAAGCGAAAAUGCCCUUUCAGAGAAGUGCCGGUUGGUGCAAGGCACAAAGGUUGUUUUUUCGCCGAACUCACCGGAUAGCGGCUGUGCUGAACUUCAGUAGGCGCAGACGGGUGCGCCCGUUACAGUGCAGGGAUAUGACUGUAUCCUGACUGAGUGCGUCCCACAGCUUGUGGAACGAAGAAGAGUGGUACCGCGGACGGUUUUUCAGCCUUUCGUCUCUUCU